rnacentral:rRNA from 2 species
GAGGUUAAGCGACUAAGCGUACACGGUGGAUGCCCUGGCAGUCAGAGGCGAUGAAGGGCGUGCUAAUCUGCGAUAAGCGCCGGUAAGGUGAUAUGAACCGUUAUAACCGGCGAUACCCGAAUGGGGAAACCCAGUGUGACUCGUCACACUAUCAUUAACUGAAUCCAUAGGUUAAUGAGGCGAACCGGGGGAACUGAAACAUCUAAGUACCCCGAGGAAAAGAAAUCAACCGAGAUUCCCCCAGUAGCGGCGAGCGAACGGGGAGGAGCCCAGAGCCUGAAUCAGCAUGUGUGUUAGUGGAAGCGUCUGGAAAGGCGCGCGAUACAGGGUGACAGCCCCGUACACAAAAGCGCAUGUGCUGUGAGCUCGAUGAGUAGGGCGGGACACGUGGUAUCCUGUCUGAAUAUGGGGGGACCAUCCUCCAAGGCUAAAUACUCCUGACUGACCGAUAGUGAACCAGUACCGUGAGGGAAAGGCGAAAAGAACCCCGGCGAGGGGAGUGAAAAAGAACCUGAAACCGUGUACGUACAAGCAGUGGGAGCCCCACCACUAAGCCAGUGGUGAACUCCACAUACGCAUCCUUUGCUGAGGAUACGGUUAACGGAGCGAAAGCGACGUUCAACCUCAAAAGAAGCAGAGGGGGCUUAGUGGUGGGGUGACUGCGUACCUUUUGUAUAAUGGGUCAGCGACUUAUAUUCUGUAGCAAGGUUAACCGUAUAGGGGAGCCGGAGGGAAACCGAGUCUUAAUUGGGCGUUAAGUUGCAGGGUAUAGACCCGAAACCCGGUGAUCUAGCCAUGGGCAGGUUGAAGGUUGGGUAACACUAACUGGAGGACCGAACCGACUAAUGUUGAAAAAUUAGCGGAUGACCUGUGGCUGGGGGUGAAAGGCCAAUCAAACCGGGAGAUAGCUGGUUCUCCCCGAAAGCUAUUUAGGUAGCGCCUCGUGAAUUCAUCUCCGGGGGUAGAGCACUGUUUCGGCUAGGGGGUCAUCCCGACUUACCAACCCGAUGCAAACUGCGAAUACCGGAGAAUGUUAUCACGGGAGACACACGGCGGGUGCUAACGUCCGUCGUGAAGAGGGAAACAACCCAGACCGCCAGCUAAGGUCCCAAAGUCAUGGUUAAGUGGGAAACGAUGUGGGAAGGCCCAGACAGCCAGGAUGUUGGCUUAGAAGCAGCCAUCAUUUAAAGAAAGCGUAAUAGCUCACUGGUCGAGUCGGCCUGCGCGGAAGAUGUAACGGGGCUAAACCAUGCACCGAAGCUGCGGCAGCGACACUGUGUGUUGUUGGGUAGGGGAGCGUUCUGUAAGCCUGUGAAGGUGGCCUGUGAGGGUUGCUGGAGGUAUCAGAAGUGCGAAUGCUGACAUAAGUAACGAUAAAGCGGGUGAAAAGCCCGCUCGCCGGAAGACCAAGGGUUCCUGUCCAACGUUAAUCGGGGCAGGGUGAGUCGACCCCUAAGGCGAGGCCGAAAGGCGUAGUCGAUGGGAAACGGGUUAAUAUUCCCGUACUUGGUGUUACUGCGAAGGGGGGACGGAGAAGGCUAUGUUGGCCGGGCGACGGUUGUCCCGGUUUAAGCGUGUAGGUGUGUGUUCCAGGUAAAUCCGGUUCACUUUAACACUGAGGCGUGAUGACGAGGCACUACGGUGCUGAAGCAACAAAUGCCCUGCUUCCAGGAAAAGCCUCUAAGCAUCAGGUAACAUCAAAUCGUACCCCAAACCGACACAGGUGGUCAGGUAGAGAAUACCAAGGCGCUUGAGAGAACUCGGGUGAAGGAACUAGGCAAAAUGGUGCCGUAACUUCGGGAGAAGGCACGCUGACACGUAGGUGAAGUGAUUUACUCAUGGAGCUGAAGUCAGUCGAAGAUACCAGCUGGCUGCAACUGUUUAUUAAAAACACAGCACUGUGCAAACACGAAAGUGGACGUAUACGGUGUGACGCCUGCCCGGUGCCGGAAGGUUAAUUGAUGGGGUCAGCGCAAGCGAAGCUCCUGAUCGAAGCCCCGGUAAACGGCGGCCGUAACUAUAACGGUCCUAAGGUAGCGAAAUUCCUUGUCGGGUAAGUUCCGACCUGCACGAAUGGCGUAAUGAUGGCCAGGCUGUCUCCACCCGAGACUCAGUGAAAUUGAACUCGCUGUGAAGAUGCAGUGUACCCGCGGCAAGACGGAAAGACCCCGUGAACCUUUACUAUAGCUUGACACUGAACAUUGAGCCUUGAUGUGUAGGAUAGGUGGGAGGCUUUGAAGCGUGGACGCCAGUCUGCGUGGAGCCGACCUUGAAAUACCACCCUUUAAUGUUUGAUGUUCUAACGUGGACCCGUUACCCGGGUUGCGGACAGUGUCUGGUGGGUAGUUUGACUGGGGCGGUCUCCUCCUAAAGAGUAACGGAGGAGCACGAAGGUUGGCUAAUCCUGGUCGGACAUCAGGAGGUUAGUGCAAUGGCAUAAGCCAGCUUGACUGCGAGCGUGACGGCGCGAGCAGGUGCGAAAGCAGGUCAUAGUGAUCCGGUGGUUCUGAAUGGAAGGGCCAUCGCUCAACGGAUAAAAGGUACUCCGGGGAUAACAGGCUGAUACCGCCCAAGAGUUCAUAUCGACGGCGGUGUUUGGCACCUCGAUGUCGGCUCAUCACAUCCUGGGGCUGAAGUAGGUCCCAAGGGUAUGGCUGUUCGCCAUUUAAAGUGGUACGCGAGCUGGGUUUAGAACGUCGUGAGACAGUUCGGUCCCUAUCUGCCGUGGGCGCUGGAGAACUGAGGGGGGCUGCUCCUAGUACGAGAGGACCGGAGUGGACGCAUCACUGGUGUUCGGGUUGUCAUGCCAAUGGCACUGCCCGGUAGCUAAAUGCGGAAGAGAUAAGUGCUGAAAGCAUCUAAGCACGAAACUUGCCCCGAG